rnacentral:rRNA from 1 species
UGAGGAAUAUUGGUCAAUGGGCGAGAGCCUGAACCAGCCAAGUAGCGUGCAGGAUGACGGCCCUAUGGGUUGUAAACUGCUUUUAUAUGGGAAUAAAGUGAGGGACGUGUCCCUUAUUGCAUGUACCAUACGAAUAAGGACCGGCUAAUUCCGUACCAGCAGCCGCGGUAAUACGGAAGGUCCAGGCGUUAUCCGGAUUUAUUGGGUUUAAAGGGAGCGUAGGCUGUUUGUUAAGCGUGUUGUGAAAUGUAAGAGCUCAACUUUUAGAUUGCAGCGCGAACUGGCAGACUUGAGUGCGCACAACGUAGGCGGAAUUCAUGGUGUAGCGGUGAAAUGCUUAGAUAUCAUGACGAACUCCGAUUGCGAAGGCAGCUUACGGGAGCGCAACUGACGCUAAAGCUCGAAGGUGCGGGUAUCGAACAGG